UACGUAGGGGGCAAGCGUUGUCCGGAUUUAUUGGGCGUAAAGAGCGUGUAGGCGGCCUGGUAGGUCAGUUGUGAAAACUCGAGGCUCAACCUCGAGACGCCGAUUGAAACCACCAGGCUAGAGUCCGGAAGAGGAGAGUGGAAUUCCCGGUGUAGCGGUGAAAUGCGCAGAUAUCAGGAGGAACACCGGUGGCGAAGGCGGGUCUCUGGGCCGAUACUGACGCUGGAGGAGCGAAAGCGUGGGGAGCGAACAGG
rnacentral:rRNA from 1 species